AGGGGAAUAUUGGACUAUGGGCGCAAGCCUGCUCCAGCCAUGCCGCGUGAGUGAUGAAGGCCCUAGGGUUGUAAAGCUCUUUCACCGGUGAAGAUAAUGACGGUAACCGGAGAAGAAGCCCCGGCUAACUUCGUGCCAGCAGCCGCGGUAAUACGAAGGGGGCUAGCGUUGUUCGGAUUUACUGGGCGUAAAGUGCACGUAGGCGGACUUUUAAGUCAGGGGUGAAAUCCCGGGGCUCAACCCCGGAACUGCCUUUGAUACUGGAAGACGUGAGUAUGGUAGAGGUGGGUGGAAUUCCGAGUGUAGAGGUGAAAUUCGUAGAUAUUCAGAGGAACACCAGUGGCGAAGGCGGCUCACUGGACCAUUACUGAAGCUGAGGUGCGAAAGCGUGGGGAGUAAACAGG
rnacentral:rRNA from 1 species